AGAGCCUGCACAGGUGCUGCAUGGCUGUCGUCAGCUCGUGCCGUGAGGUGUCCGGUUAAGUCCGGUAACGAGCGCAACCCUCGCCAUAUGUUACAAGUGUCAUAUGGGACUGCCGAUAUAAAGUCGGAGGAAGGUGGGGAUGACGUCAAGUCAGCAUGGCCUUUAUGUCCGGGGCUACACACACGCUACAAUGGCCGGUACAAUAGGUAGCAAGACCGCGAGGUGGAGCCAAUCCUUAAAGCCGGUCUCAGUUCAGAUUGCAGGCUGCAACUCGCCUGCAUGAAGUCGGAGUUGCUAGUAACCGCGCGUCAGCAAUAGUGCGGUGAAUACGUUCCCGGGCCUU
rnacentral:rRNA from 1 species